UCUGGGACAAGCCCUGGAAACGGGGUCUAAUACCGGAUAAUACUCCUGCCUGCAUGGGCGGGGGUUGAAAGCUCCGGCGGUGAAGGAUGAGCCCGCGGCCUAUCAGCUUGUUGGUGGGGUAAUGGCCCACCAAGGCGACGACGGGUAGCCGGCCUGAGAGGGCGACCGGCCACACUGGGACUGAGACACGGCCCAGACUCCUACGGGAGGCAGCAGUGGGGAAUAUUGCACAAUGGGCGAAAGCCUGAUGCAGCGACGCCGCGUGAGGGAUGACGGCCUUCGGGUUGUAAACCUCUUUCAGCAGGGAAGAAGCGAAAGUGACGGUACCUGCAGAAGAAGCGCCGGCUAACUACGUGCCAGCAGCCGCGGUAAUACGUAGGGCGCAAGCGUUGUCCGGAAUUAUUGGGCGUAAAGAGCUCGUAGGCGGCUUGUCACGUCGGAUGUGAAAGCCCGAGGCUUAACCUCGGGUCUGCAUUCGAUACGGGCUAGCUAGAGUGUGGUAGGGGAGAUCGGAAUUCCUGGUGUAGCGGUGAAAUGCGCAGAUAUCAGGAGGAACACCGGUGGCGAAGGCGGAUCUCUGGGCCAUUACUGACGCUGAGGAGCGAAAGCGUGGGGAGCGAACAGGAUUAGAUACCCUGGUAGUCCACGCCGUAAACGUUGGGAACUAGUGUUGGCGACAUUCCACGUCGUCGGUGCCGCAGCUAACGCAUUAAGUUCCCCGCCUGG
rnacentral:rRNA from 1 species